rnacentral:antisense_RNA from 1 species
GCUUAGUCCAGCCUCAGCCUUCUAGGUUCAAGUAAUCUUCCCACCUCAGCCUCCCAAGAAGCUAGGACUACAGGGACCCACCACCACACCUAGCUAAUUAAAAAAAAAAAUUGUAGAGAUGGAGUCUCAGUGUGUAGCCCAGUCUCAAGUGACCCUCCCUCCUUGGCCUCCCAAAGUGCUGAGAUUGCUGGAAGAGUGUCUUCAUCUCUGCAUCCCUAGUGCAACAGAGCAUGAUAAAAAUUCAAUAAAUAUUUAUUGCAGAGUCUUGAUGUCUUUUGGGAAAGGAACUCUAUGGUUACCUUUACUCUAAGAUUAGAAGGGUGUUACUGAUUCUUACCUCAGAGAAGAGAAUGUCAUGGAGACAAAAUGACCUGCUUAGAGUUCUGCGCCCCCCAGCAUGGAGAGCAGAGCGCAAAGAUUUCCUCCAGACUCCCACAUUCUCCCUUGGAAUCCAAGAACUUGUCUACUAUCACAACACUUUAGUACCCACUUGUAAGCCCGUGGACAAAUCCUCUGAGGCCUUGAUACCUCAGUUUUCCCCCACUAUAAAUGGGAAGAUAAAUUCACUAGAAACAG